ensembl:ncRNA K08B12.7 ncRNA
UAAAUGGAUAAACGAACUCGUUUUGUUCGGUUUUCGCACAGUCCAUCUUUGAUCGGUCUGGAACUAAGUGGGUUAUCAUUGAUUCGAUGAACUUAGGACCCACCAUGGAUGCAUGAUCUUUAAAGAUGUAUCCACGCUCCGUUGGACAGUUAUCCCAUUGGACUUUUAAUGGUCACCAACCGGUUUUCUACCAUUCGGAUC